rnacentral:rRNA from 1 species
GAAACGACUGCUAAGACUGGAUAGGAGACAAGAAGGCAUCUUUUUGUUUUUAAAAGACCUAGCAAUAGGUAUGCUUAGGGAGGAGCUUGCGUCACAUUAGUUAGUUGGUGGGGUAAAGGCUUACCAAGACUAUGAUGUGUAGCCGGGCUGAGAGGUUGAACGGCCACAUUGGGACUGAGACACGGCCCAAACUCCUACGGGAGGCAGCAGUAGGGAAUUUUCGGCAAUGGAGGAAACUCUGACCGAGCAACGCCGCGUGAACGAUGAAGUAUUUCGGUACGUAAAGUUCUUUUAUUAGGGAAGAAUAAAUGAUGGAAAAAUCAUUCUGACGGUACCUAAUGAAUAAGCCCCGGCUAACUAUGUGCCAGCAGCCGCGGUAAUACAUAGGGGGCAAGCGUUAUCCGGAAUUAUUGGGCGUAAAGGGUGCGUAGGCGGUUAAAUAAGUUUAUGGUCUAAGUGCAAUGCUUAACAUUGUGAUGCUAUAAAAACUGUUUAGCUAGAGUAAGAUAGAGGCAAGUGGAAUUCCAUGUGUAGUGGUAAAAUGCGUAAAUAUAUGGAGGAACACCAGUAGCGAAGGCGGCUUGCUGGGUCUUUACUGACGCUGAGGCACGAAAGCGUGGGGAGCAAACAGGAUUAGAUACCCUGGUAGUCCACGCCGUAAACGAUGAGUACUAAAUGUUGGGUAAAACCAGUGUUGAAGUUAACACAUUAAGUACUCCGCCUGAGUAGUACGUACGCAAGUAUGAAACUUAAAGGAAUUGACGGGACUCCGCACAAGCGGUGGAUCAUGUUGUUUAAUUCGAAGGUACCCGAAAAACCUCACCAGGACUUGACAUGCUUCUGCAAAGCUGUAGAAACACAGUGGAGGUUAUCAGUUGCACAGGUGGUGCAUGGUUGUCGUCAGCUCGUGUCGUGAGAUGUUGGGUUAAGUCCCGCAACGAGCGCAACCCUUAUUGUUAGUUGCCAGCACGUAAUGGUGGGGACUUUAGCAAGACUGCCAGUGAUAAAUUGGAGGAAGGUGGGGACGACGUCAAAUCAUCAUGCCCCUUAUGACCUGGGCUACAAACGUGAUACAAUGGCUGUUACAAAGGGUAGCUGAAACGCAAGUUUUUGGCGAAUCUCAAAAAAACAGUCUCAGUUCGGAUUGAAGUCUGCAACUCGACUUCAUGAAGUUGGAAUCGCUAGUAAUCGCGAAUCAGCAUGUCGCGGUGAAUACGUUCUCGGGGUUUGUACACACCGCCCGUCA